rnacentral:rRNA from 1 species
AAAGUGAUCGGCGGAGUUAGGGCAUACUCUAAGCGUAGUAAUAUUCUUCUCGCUUCUGUAGUUGUCCUGGCGGCUUGCCGUUAAACCCCUAUAUUUCUAGUGGUUGACCUCGGAUUAGGUAGGAAUACCCGCUGAACUUAAGCAUAUCAAUAAGCGGAGGAAAAGAAACCAACAGGGAUUGCCCUAGUAACGGCGAGUGAAGCGGCAACAGCUCAAAUUUGAAAUCUGGCCCUAGCGGUCCGAGUUGUAAUUUGUAGAGGAUGCUUUUGGUUAGGUGCCUUCUGAGUUCCCUGGAACGGGACGCCAAAGAGGGUGAGAGCCCCGUACGGUUGGACACCGAGCCUCUAUAUAGCUCCUUCGACGAGUCGAGUAGUUUGGGAAUGCUGCUCUAAAUGGGAGGUAAAUUUCUUCUAAAGCUAAAUACCGGCCAGAGACCGAUAGCGCACAAGUAGAGUGAUCGAAAGAUGAAAAGUACUUUGAAAAGAGGGUUAAAUAGCACGUGAAAUUGUUGAAAGGGAAGCGUUUGCGACCAGACUUUUUCCAGGCGGAUCAUCCGGUGUUCUCACCGGUGCACUUCGCCUGGUUUAGGCC